GAGGCUUCCAGUGGCUCGCAAGCCUCUUAGCGAGAGACUGGGCCGCGACACCAAGAAACAUCUAGUGGUGCCGGGGGAUACAAUCACUACGGACACGGGAUUCAUGCGGGGCCAUGGAACGUAUAUGGGAGAAGAGAAGCUCAUUGCAUCUGUUGCUGGCUCUGUGGAGAGAGUGAACAAGUUGAUCUGUGUGAAAGCUUUGAAAACCAGAUACAUUGGUGAAGUAGGAGACAUUGUAGUGGGACGAAUCACAGAGGUUCAACAGAAGAGGUGGAAGGUGGAGACCAACUCCAGGCUGGAUUCGGUCUUGCUGCUCUCGUCCAUGAACCUUCCUGGAGGAGAGCUGAGGAGAAGAUCUGCAGAAGAUGAGCUUGCAAUGAGAGGUUUCUUACAGGAAGGGGACCUUAUCAGUGUAUCCUGCGCUUUGCACUCCAGCCUCUUGAUGCUUUUCUAUGGGACUGGGAAAUGGGCCUUCCAUUGUAUGUCUCUGAUGGAAGAACCGUGUCAUCCUUGCAGGGAUCCGAGUCUUAGACCAAGUGUCGGGCUCUGCUGCAUCCUUUCUCAGUCUCCUUAAUUCAGGUGGACUCCCCAGCUCUUGUUUGAACCUGCUGCUAAGUCAUUUCUUUGGAUCUUCUAACUUAUGGUGGCCUGUGCUUUAGACUAGGCUUUUGUUAAUGAUGUUAACUUUUAGCGCAGGGA
rnacentral:sRNA from 1 species